rnacentral:tRNA from 8 species
GGGCAUGUAGCUCAGUUGGUUAGAGCACCGCCUUGAUAAGGCGGGGGUCACUGGUUCGAGUCCAGUCCUGCCCACCA